GUUCCAUUAGCUCAGUUGGUUCCGUAAGGCUUAGAGAGCAUCCGACUUUUAAUCGGAGGGUCACGGGUUCGAGUCCCGUAUGGAACACCA
rnacentral:tRNA from 1 species